rnacentral:ribozyme from 13 species
AAGAAAAAGAAGAAAAAGAAAAAAAAAAAGAAAAACACCAUGAAGAGGUCAU